UGGGGAAUAUUGGGCAAUGGGCGCAAGCCUGACCCAGCAACGCCGCGUGAGGGAAGAAGGUCUUCGGAUUGUAAACCUCUGUCCUUGGGGACGAAAAAAAUGACGGUACCCAAGGAGGAAGCUCCGGCUAACUACGUGCCAGCAGCCGCGGUAAUACGUAGGGAGCGAGCGUUGUCCGGAAUUACUGGGCGUAAAGGGUGCGUAGGCGGCUAGGCAAGUCAGAGGUGAAAUCCCCGGGCUUAACUCGGGUGGUGCAUUUGAAACUGCUUGGCUUGAGUGCAGGAGAGGAAAGCGGAAUUCCUAGUGUAGCGGUGAAAUGCGUAGAUAUUAGGAGGAACAUCAGUGGCGAAGGCGGCUUUCUGGACUGUAACUGACGCUGAGGCACGAAAGCGUGGGGAGCAAACA
rnacentral:rRNA from 1 species